UACGAAGGGGGCUAGCGUUGCUCGGAAUCACUGGGCGUAAAGCGCACGUAGGCGGAUUGCUAAGUCAGGGGUGAAAUCCUGGAGCUCAACUCCAGAACUGCCUUUGAUACUGGCGACCUUGAGUCCGGGAGAGGUGAGUGGAACUGCGAGUGUAGAGGUGAAAUUCGUAGAUAUUCGCAAGAACACCAGUGGCGAAGGCGGCUCUCUGGGACGGUACUGACGCUGAGACGCGAAAGCGUGGGGAGCAAACAGG
rnacentral:rRNA from 1 species